rnacentral:lncRNA from 1 species
GGCUCUGCCGCCUGCCUCCGCGCCUCCUCUGCCCCUCCUUUGCUCUGCCUUCCUGUGUCAGCCGAGCUCAUCAGUAUGGACAACGCCGAAAGGCUCCGCGAGGCCGGCGGCAUCUGGCCUCCAACCUCCCCCGCCAAAGCGCUCCCUCGCCUCUCGGGGAGCUCCGCGGUGGCGAAUGCCCGUUAUGUAUUUCUGAUGCCGCCGUCUGCGUUUGCACGCUGAAGGGCCAGCUACCACCUUAGACCCAGGAGUCCCUUGAAGACUAAGCUCAGAUUCAGCUUUCAGGGUCUCUCUCCUUGAUAUUUCAGCAUGAAUGAUGCCUGGCGAGGGGGCUACUCUCCACAAUACACCAUUUUUCAGUCUCUAUGUUUCCUGUCCAGGCUGGGAUGUUCCAAAUACUCCUUCAGCUAGUGAAUUUGCAAAUCAACUCCUAGAGACUGCAGCCAUCACUUUAUGAGAUGAGAUGUGCCAAACAUGUUGAUCAACAAUGAUUAUUCAUUUUGUCACAGAAUAAAUUUUUUUACUUCAAUUAUGAACCCUAUUUAGUGAUGCUGUUAGUAUUUUAAAUUCUUGUCAAGUUAAAUUUUAUAGUAUUCAAUAUAAAAUUUUCUAUGUUAAUUAUUAUAGUUUCCUGAUAAUGGUUUUGAUGUUGUUUAGAAGAAUAUUUAAGUUUUUAUAAUAAAAUUAUGUUACUGAUUUUUACAUGUAAUUUCAUUUGAUUACAGUAUUAGACAAAUCUACAUCUUUCUAAUAAUUAAUUAAUGUCUUCUGAUGUUUUAACUGUAUUGAUCACUGCAACGUAGCCCAAUGACGUGUGUUUUAAAGGCUAUCUGUACUGCUGUGUUUGUUUAUGUAUAUAAAACAAUAAUUUCAAUACUAAUAAUACUUUCAUUUUAUGUUGGAAGCUGUUAUUUGGUACCUAAUGUUCUGUUAAUGUUAUUAUACAUCAAUUAAAUUAUCCUGUUUGCCUUUUACAAUGCUUGUGCCUGAACUUUACUUUGGAUAGAGACAGGAAUAUGAUCAGGAAUAUAAUCAUUAUUUGAAAUUAUCAUAUUCCAAAUAAUGAUAUGGAAUUCAAAGGCGUGGCAUAGAUCAGAGAUUAGAAGUUAAUAUUAAAUACAUAAAGAUGGUGG